AGCACAAGACUAAUAAAGCAGUAAAAUGACACUGAAACGCUUCCUUUAUGCUCGACUUAUAACAUGAAACAUCUCUUGAAUAUGUUUGCAGGACACGGUUCGCUGGACCUGGAAAGGACUGACGUGGCUCGGCACUCUGUGGCACACCACCUCUCAGAUCUACACCAGCGUUACUGUGGAGUUCCUGCCCGUCUACACGCCGUCACAGGAGGAGAAGCAGAACCCAGACUUAUACGCCGAAAACGUACAGAAACUCAUGGCCAAGUAAGUCAUACACCAUCUGCUGUCUAUAUAGGCAGAUCCCUACGUAGGCAGCAUCGGAAACUAUAAUAGCAAUGAUUUACACAGACAGCGAGUCCUCGUGACAGGUUAUUUCAGUGCAGUCUGUCAUCAUCAUCUUACUAACAACACUUCUCCAGUAAAUACGCUGCAUAGACGCUAGAUGCAAUGGUGCGUUCAUAAUUAGAUUAUUUAGCAAUAUUUUAUCAAAUAUUUUCUGUAUUGAUUGAAAUGUUUAAUCAAGAUUUAUCUUGCUUCAUUUGCCAUCUUUACCUUUAAAUGCAGUCGACAUGGCAGUGGCUUAAAAAGAGCCUGAAACCACUGAAAUAAAAAAAUAAUAAUAAUUUUGUCGCUUGAAAUA
ensembl:lncRNA